UUUCUCAUUUUUUGUGGAUUUUUCCCACCAUAACCAAUUGAAAUGCCAUGACCAAGGGAUUAUCAUGACUUCAGGGAAUGGAAAACCUGGAUCCAUGAAUUCAGGAGACAAAAGUCUGACAGCAACUGGGCAGCCACUGAGUUUCAAAUAUGCUGUCAGUAACACAGAAAGUCCAGCACUUCCCCUCCUGGAGAAGCUCAAGUAGGAUAAGCAAAUGAGGAGCUGCCUUACUUCCCUAGUGAAGUGUCUGACUGAUGGGAAUCAGAACCAUUCAGAACUGAUUCCAGGAAAUAAGCCCUAACCUGGUACUCUCAACAUCCAACUUUCAGCCUGGUGUUUAGUACCAUAGCAGCAAUUGAUGGUCUGAGGGCUAAGCCCCAGUGAACUGCUCGCAUACCCCCUGGCCCCUAGCUGAAACCUUUACUGGCAAACAGUGGAACUGGUGGUUACUGGUCAAUGGUGAGCUGGAAAAAAAUGCAAGCCACAGCUUGCUCUGUCAGUGAAAAUAAAAGCAAACCAAUGGCCUCUGGGCCUAUUUCAGAGUCCUAUUGCUGCAGCAAGCUUUCUGGGACAUAGCUUCCGUCAUCUGAAUUUAUUAUAACUGGUUUUGUCAUGCCAUAACACCCAGCGGAGGUGCUGCUGAUAACAGCACUUUCAUUUUCACAGGUAGGCUUGCACUGGCAGCAGCGUUAUCAUAACCAAGCUAGAUCAGAUCUGCACAGUCAGUUGGAAAGCUGAAUCAUGCCAAAAAUAUCGGUUAAGGCUCUGCACAGGUAGCUCACCAUGUCCAAUAGAUGUCUUAAAUCUCCCAUACUAAGGAGAUUGCAAUUUCACUAGUGCUUUGAACUAUCUGAGGUCCAAGCUAAUCUUUUCCUUACAAAGGACCUGAUCCCGUUUCCACUGAAGUAGAGGAGAAUUGUAUCAUUGGUUUUUCGACAGAACAGGAUCGAGCCUUAAUUUUGUGACCCAGCAAGGUCAACUAAUUUGUGCACAAACAGCACUUCUCCCUGUUAAGCUUUAGCCUUGAAGCAUUUCCUGCCUCAGCCUCUUACACAUGUCACUUAUCUUCUCCCUUAUCAGUAGGACCAUAUAGCAGUACACCAUCUCCUAUAUUCAUGCCUGCUAUACUCUGUGACAGCUUAGCCAUUUUGUUCUUGAAAUAUUUGAGCUGUACU